rnacentral:rRNA from 1 species
ACGAACGCUGGCGGCGUGCUUAACACCUGCAAGUCGAACGGAAAGGCCCUGCUUUUGUGGGGUGCUCGAGUGGCGAACGGGUGAGUAACACGUGAGUAACCUGCCCUUGACUUUGGGGUAACUUCAGGAAACUGGGGCUAAUACCGGAUAGGAGCUCCUGCUGCAUGGUGGGGGUUGGAAAGUUUCGGCGGUUGGGGAUGGACUCGCGGCUUAUCAGCUUGUUGGUGGGGUAGUGGCUUACCAAGGCUUUGACGGGUAGCCGGCCUGAGAGGGUGACCGGCCACAUUGGGACUGAGAUACGGCCCAGACUCCUACGGGAGGCAGCAGUGGGGAAUAUUGCACAAUGGGCGGAAGCCUGAUGCAGCAACGCCGCGUGCGGGACGACGGCCUUCGGGUUGUAAACCGCUUUCGCCUGUGACGAAGCGUGAGUGACGGUAAUGGGUAAAGAAGCACCGGCUAACUACGUG